UGAAUCAGUGAUGACCAUGGGUGUUUUAUGAGUCAUGGAUUAUGAUUACAAGUCUUUGUGUCUGAGGUUCAC